GCGUAGGUGGUGGAGUGGUCUAUCACAACAGACUGUAAAUCUGUCGACUUCGGUCUUCGAAGGUUCGAAUCCUUCCCUACGCACAA
rnacentral:tRNA from 1 species